CCUUUGUUGACCUGGCCCCUAAUUGUGUAGCCAUGGACAGGGGCUCUCAGGUGUCUGCCGCAGUCCACCUGAAAAGGGCAGAGGAGCCAAGUGCAAGGGAAAGGAAAAAAGAAAAACCUUGAAUGUGAGAAAAUGGGUGGUGCCUGCAGGUACCAGAACACCCACGGGUGUGUCAUCCUGCCUGGAGAGUGCCGGAGUCGGAAGAAACACUGCUGCAGACUCUAGUUUCAGCAUCGGAGCGUCCACAGCAGCACGAGACACUCCCCGCCGCUGAGUCCUGCUUAAAAAGAGCCGCUGCUCACUCGGGUCCCGUGGGGUCUUUCUGAGUGCACGAGGUCAUGAACUGGAUGGGAAGGUUGGCUGGAAGUCUGGUCACACCACUCGUUAGCUGACUCACGCUGGACAGGCCUUGCCUUUCCUAGCUCUCAGUCUCUGCUCCUGUGACUGCUGAAAUGGAUGUUCCCCGCAGCCUAAUUUUGUUGGUGGUGGGGUUUAGUUGCUAAAUCAUGUCCGACUCUUCUGUGACGCCACAGACUAAGGAGCCUGGUGCCAGGCUCCUCAAUCCGUGCGAUUUUCCAGGCAAAAAUACUGGAGUGGGUUGUCCUUUCCUCUUUCAGGACAUCUUUCUGACCCAGGGAUCGAGCCCGCAUCUCCUGUGUCUCCUGCGUUGGCAGGCAGAGUCUUUAGCACUGAGCCCCAGGAAAGCCAACCUGUUAAUAUAUGUCUACAAAUGUAUGGCCUGGGGGAAAGAGCUUUGAGUGUGUGCGUGCGUGCGUGUGUGUGUGUGUGUGUGUGUGUGUGUCAUACUAUGGAAAGUCACCAAGGUUUUGUGUCCCUUUGUGGAAGGACGUCUGUGUUUCCCCUGGCUUAUGGGUUUCCACGUGGUCAACAUGUGCUUAACUUCCCAAGAGACAGCAAACCGCUUUCUGAAGCAGCUGUGGUCGCUGCUGACAAUCUCAGUGGCCUCUGAGUUCCCAGUCUCUCCAUGUUCCCAUCCCUCGUCACACCUCUAUGUAAAAUUCUCCGUGUUUCUCUGUUAAAAGGAUGAAGGACAAAUUCUCUAAUGUCUCAAGUCCUUCACCCGUUGGCCAUACUUUCUCGAAUUUCAUCUUAUCUCAGCCUGGUUCUCAAACUAACCCCUGACACAGCGUCAGUUGUCUUUCUGGCGUAUUGUGUUCUCCUCACACUGGAAC
ensembl:lncRNA